rnacentral:rRNA from 1 species
GACAGGGGGCUCGAGCGUUAAUCGGAAUCAUUGGGCUUAAAGGGUGCGUAGGCGGGUUGCUAAGUGUUCUGUGAAAUCCCCCGGCUCAACCGGGGAAUCGCAGGGCAUACUGGCAGCCUUGAGGCAUGUAGGGGCGGGCGGAACUGUAGGUGGAGCGGUGAAAUGCGUAGAUAUCUACAGGAACGCCGAUGGUGAAGACGGUCCGCUGGGCAUGUCCUGACGCUGAGGCACGAAAGCGUGGGGAGCAAACAGG